rnacentral:lncRNA from 1 species
AGAGCUUAUAGAGGAGGGAGCUGAGUAAGCACUGCCUGAGAAGUUCAGGUAUGGCCAACAUGGAUUUCUUUAUUUUGGAUUUCUUCAUUUUCCUUCUCUAUUAUUGCUGUUUUUGAGUAUAACUUGUUGUUGAUCUCUUGAUUCACAUUUCCUGGAGUUUUGUUUGGGUAUGAACUGUCUCUGUUGCAACUUUCCUAUAAAAUGUCUAAAUCAUGCCUGGGUCUUUGUCUAAAAUUUAUUGAUCUCACUCACCUUCGUUUAAGCACAUUGAUUGUAAUAUGAAACGUGGCUGUCUGCUGGUUCAUUUUAUUUCAUUCUUUUGUGCUCUGUUUGUACUCUGUUUUCGAUGUUCUCCUUUGUUUCUGGUCUGUUCAAAGUGUUGGAUAUCUCAGCUGGGUUGAUCAUUUUGGUUGGGAUAUUUAUGGGAGAGCCCCAUGAGAAGCUCAAUUCUCAUACAAACGAAAAUUUCUGGAUACCUGUAAGAUGUGUGAACCACACUCAUGAAAUGCUGAGAGAUGCAAAAGAGAGAGCCCAGAAAGUUGAGGAUGGACUACAUUGUGCCAUCUCUUGGAUGUUUAGAAAAAUCCACUCAGUCCCAACUCGGAUCCAUUCGGAAGAAUCUGAAUCAGGGUGUC